ensembl:misc_RNA Metazoa_SRP Metazoan signal recognition particle RNA
GCUGGGUGUGAUGGUGCACGCCUGUAAUCCCAGCUACUAGGGAGGCUGAGGCAGGAGAAUCGCUUGAACCCGGGAGGCGGGGAUUGCAGUGAGCCCAGAUGGCGCCACUGCACUCCAGCCUGGGCGACAGAGCGAGACUCUGUCUCAA